rnacentral:rRNA from 1 species
CGUCAGCGUGCGGGAGCAAACAGGAUUAGAUACCCUGGUAGUCCACGCCGUAAACGAUGUCGACUUGGAGGUUGUGCCCUUGAGGCGUGGCUUCCGGAGCUAACGCGUUAAGUCGACCGCCUGGGGAGUACGGCCGCAAGGUUAAAACUCAAAUGAAUUGACGGGGGCCCGCACAAGCGGUGGAGCAUGUGGUUUAAUUCGAUGCAACGCGAAGAACCUUACCUGGUCUUGACAUCCACAGAACUUUCCAGAGAUGGAUUGGUGCCUUCGGGAACUGUGAGACAGGUGCUGCAUGGCUGUCGUCAGCUCGUGUUGUGAAAUGUUGGGUUAAGUCCCGCAACGAGCGCAACCCUUAUCCUUUGUUGCCCCAGCGGGUAA